UCUUACUUACAGGUACGAGUAUAUUUGUAAAAUAUUCUAAUAAAGUUUGGAGAAAACAAAAACGAAACCAUGUAGAUAUUACACAUAGCUGAAAAUCGAAGUGGUCCAUGCUAGAUAUUGUUCCUUAAUCUGUAUUUAUUGGUAUAUAUAUAGAAAUAGGUGUUUGGAUUAUCUUGGAUUAAAAUCGCUUAACAUAUGGUGAUCACGAACAUAUUAUGCGAGUUAUAGGAAACAUUUUGAAAUUUCAUUGAAAAUCAUGAAUGAUUCGAAUCGGUUGAUAUAUGCGUCAAAGAGAAUAAUCAAAUAAUCGAAAUUUUUUUUAUAAAAUACAUAACAGGUUUGCUGGAAGUAUAAAGGAAACAUUGCCACUAAAUAUAGUUUAUAUUACCUUUUACUAAAAUUUUGAGUCUUUAUAGUAAAUGGUAAUUGUUCAUUUCCCGCUUGAUUUUAUACACGAGGAGUAUAUACGUCAACCGCAUCGAGAUGCAUUUAGAUUGGCCCGUGUAUACGCGUUGAACGCACUGGACUGGUUCUUCGGUAACUGUUUCGAAAGUAUCGUAAAGUAUAAGAAACGUAGGACAAGUAUGUCAGGUAGCGGCGGAUUCUUACCGGUUCGUUAAAACUUGAACGCGUCGCGUCGUGUCGGUGGAUCUCCGAAAGGAAACUCGUAAUAAUACGCAUAUACCUCGUGUCGUAUCGACGCUACGCCGCUGUGGGAUGUAGGACUUGGGACUAUAGUAACAAGUAUCACGGCACACCCCCAUCGCGGUCUGCCGUCGCGACGCCGCGCAGCAUCGUGACAGCCAUCUGCCAUUGGCCUGCCCUUCUCUCGGGCUGCGGCCAACCAAAUCCAAAUUCGACACAAACGCGACACGAACAGGCGUUUUGUCAGAAAUUAAAUAUCUACCUAGAAGAAACUAUAACUAAGCGGCAUGUAUACGUAGGAAAAUAUUAUACCGGAUAUCGAGCUUGACGAUCGUUUUGUAUUUCAAAGUCAUUGAAAUCGGCCAUCUCCGAUUAACAAUAAUCCUAUCUACGUAUAUUAAGCGAUGCAAGAUGAACGAAACAGCCUGUGUAAUAAAUUUUACAUAGAAACGAAAUUUUACAGUAUCUUUGUACAUUAUACGCUAUGGUAACUAAUCUGGUAGUUUUGAUGUUCGUUAAAUAGGUUUUAUAUGAUCCGGCUGCAACAGGUAACAGAUACAGUCCUUCGUGCGCACCAUCGGUUUUGAUUACGUUUAUUAAUAUGAUACUGCAGGGUCACGCUACCGUACUCCUUGGUUGUUCGGAGUUCAUGUUCCCGGUCAGUCUAUUCUUCAGAAAGUUUGCGUGAUACUCACUCUGUUAUGUGUGCCUGUAAUGCUUCUUGGCAAGCCUCUUCUCUUCUUAUUUCAGAAGAAGAGACAAGAAGGGCGAGUUAUGAGCAAUGGAACUCCAUCUCAAGACAUCGAAUUGCAAACCGAAGGUUUACAAAAUAAUGCGGCUGUUAGU